CGCAGCUGAAAAUGAAACAAAUGUUCCAGUUUUGGUCUCCAAUUGAACUGAGUCUACCGGAUUAUCAAGUGUGAAAACACCCCAAUAAUAAACAGAGUGUUAAAGGCA